rnacentral:rRNA from 1 species
UUAAGUUAUUAAGGGCGCACGGUGGAUGCCUUGGCACUAGAAGCCGAUGAAGGACGUUACUAACGACGAUAUGCUUUGGGGAGCUGUAAGUAAGCUUUGAUCCAGAGUUUUCCGAAUGGGGAAACCCAGCAUGAGUUAUGUCAUGUUAUCGAUAUGUGAAUACAUAGCAUAUCAGAAGGCACACCCGGAGAACUGAAACAUCUUAGUACCCGGAGGAAGAGAAAGAAAAUUCGAUUCCCUUAGUAGCGGCGAGCGAAACGGGAAGAGCCCAAACCAACAAGCUUGCUUGUUGGGGUUGUAGGACACUCUAUACGGAGUUACAAAGGACGACAUUAGACGAAUCAUCUGGAAAGAUGAAUCAAAGAAGGUAAUAAUCCUGUAGUCGAAAAUGUUGUCUCUCUUGAGUGGAUCCUGAGUACGACGGAGCACGUGAAAUUCCGUCGGAAUCUGGGAGGACCAUCUCCUAAGGCUAAAUACUCUCUAGUGACCGAUAGUGAACCAGUACCGUGAGGGAAAGGUGAAAAGCACCCCGGAAGGGGAGUGAAAUAGAACCUGAAACCGUGUGCUUACAAGUAGUCAGAGCCCGUUAAUGGGUGAUGGCGUGCCUUUUGUAGAAUGAACCGGCGAGUUACGAUUUGAUGCAAGGUUAAGCAGUAAAUGUGGAGCCGUAGCGAAAGCGAGUCUGAAUAGGGCGUUUAGUAUUUGGUCGUAGACCCGAAACCAGGUGAUCUACCCUUGGUCAGGUUGAAGUUCAGGUAACACUGAAUGGAGGACCGAACCGACUUACGUUGAAAAGUGAGCGGAUGAACUGAGGGUAGCGGAGAAAUUCCAAUCGAACCUGGAGAUAGCUGGUUCUCUCCGAAAUAGCUUUAGGGCUAGCCUCAAGUGAUGAUUAUUGGAGGUAGAGCACUGUUUGGACGAGGGGCCCCUCUCGGGUUACCGAAUUCAGACAAACUCCGAAUGCCAAUUAAUUUAACUUGGGAGUCAGAACAUGGGUGAUAAGGUCCGUGUUCGAAAGGGAAACAGCCCAGACCACCAGCUAAGGUCCCAAAAUAUAUGUUAAGUGGAAAAGGAUGUGGCGUUGCCCAGACAACUAGGAUGUUGGCUUAGAAGCAGCCAUCAUUUAAAGAGUGCGUAAUAGCUCACUAGUCGAGUGACACUGCGCCGAAAAUGUACCGGGGCUAAACAUAUUACCGAAGCUGUGGAUUGUCCUUUGGACAAUGGUAGGAGAGCGUUCUAAGGGCGUUGAAGCAUGAUCGUAAGGACAUGUGGAGCGCUUAGAAGUGAGAAUGCCGGUGUGAGUAGCGAAAGACGGGUGAGAAUCCCGUCCACCGAUUGACUAAGGUUUCCAGAGGAAGGCUCGUCCGCUCUGGGUUAGUCGGGUCCUAAGCUGAGGCCGACAGGCGUAGGCGAUGGAUAACAGGUUGAUAUUCCUGUACCACCUAUAAUCGUUUUAAUCGAUGGGGGGACGCAGUAGGAUAGGCGAAGCGUGCGAUUGGAUUGCACGUCUAAGCAGUAAGGCUGAGUAUUAGGCAAAUCCGGUACUCGUUAAGGCUGAGCUGUGAUGGGGAGAAGACAUUGUGUCUUCGAGUCGUUGAUUUCACACUGCCGAGAAAAGCCUCUAGAUAGAAAAUAGGUGCCCGUACCGCAAACCGACACAGGUAGUCAAGAUGAGAAUUCUAAGGUGAGCGAGCGAACUCUCGUUAAGGAACUCGGCAAAAUGACCCCGUAACUUCGGGAGAAGGGGUGCUCUUUAGGGUUAACGCCCAGAAGAGCCGCAGUGAAUAGGCCCAAGCGACUGUUUAUCAAAAACACAGGUCUCUGCUAAACCGUAAGGUGAUGUAUAGGGGCUGACGCCUGCCCGGUGCUGGAAGGUUAAGAGGAGUGGUUAGCUUCUGCGAAGCUACGAAUCGAAGCCCCAGUAAACGGCGGCCGUAACUAUAACGGUCCUAAGGUAGCGAAAUUCCUUGUCGGGUAAGUUCCGACCCGCACGAAAGGCGUAACGAUUUGGGCACUGUCUCAACGAGAGACUCGGUGAAAUCAUAGUACCUGUGAAGAUGCAGGUUACCCGCGACAGGACGGAAAGACCCCGUGGAGCUUUACUGUAGCCUGAUAUUGAAAUUCGGCACAGCUUGUACAGGAUAGGUAGGAGCCUUUGAAACGUGAGCGCUAGCUUACGUGGAGGCGCUGGUGGGAUACUACCCUAGCUGUGUUGGCUUUCUAACCCGCACCACUUAUCGUGGUGGGAGACAGUGUCAGGCGGGCAGUUUGACUGGGGCGGUCGCCUCCUAAAAGGUAACGGAGGCGCUCAAAGGUUCCCUCAGAAUGGUUGGAAAUCAUUCAUAGAGUGUAAAGGCAUAAGGGAGCUUGACUGCGAGACCUACAAGUCGAGCAGGGUCGAAAGACGGACUUAGUGAUCCGGUGGUUCCGCAUGGAAGGGCCAUCGCUCAACGGAUAAAAGCUACCCCGGGGAUAACAGGCUUAUCUCCCCCAAGAGUUCACAUCGACGGGGAGGUUUGGCACCUCGAUGUCGGCUCAUCGCAUCCUGGGGCUGUAGUCGGUCCCAAGGGUUGGGCUGUUCGCCCAUUAAAGCGGUACGCGAGCUGGGUUCAGAACGUCGUGAGACAGUUCGGUCCCUAUCCGUCGUGGGCGUAGGAAAUUUGAGAGGAACUGUCCUUAGUACGAGAGGACCGGGAUGGACAUACCUCUGGUGUACCAGUUGUCGUGCCAACGGCAUAGCUGGGUAGCUAUGUGUGGACGGGAUAAGUGCUGAAAGCAUCUAAGCAUGAAGCCCCCCUCAAGAUGAGAUUUCCCAACUUCGGUUAUAAGAUCCCUCAAAGAUGAUGAGGUUAAUAGGUUCGAGGUGGAAGCAUGGUGACAUGUGGAGCUGACGAAUACUAAUCGAUCGAAGACUUAAUCAA